rnacentral:rRNA from 1 species
GACGAACGCUGGCGGCGUGCCUAAUACAUGCAAGUAGAACGCACAGUUUAUACCGUAGCUUGCUACACCAUAGACUGUGAGUUGCGAACGGGUGAGUAACGCGUAGGUAACCUGCCUGGUAGCGGGGGAUAACUAUUGGAAACGAUAGCUAAUACCGCAUAAUAUUAAUUAUUGCAUGAUAAUUAAUUGAAAGGUGCAAUUGCACCACUACCAGAUGGACCUGCGUUGUAUUAGCUAGUAGGUGAGGUAACGGCUCACCUAGGCGACGAUACAUAGCCGACCUGAGAGGGUGAUCGGCCACACUGGGACUGAGACACGGCCCAGACUCCUACGGGAGGCAGCAGUAGGGAAUCUUCGGCAAUGGACGAAAGUCUGACCGAGCAACGCCGCGUGAGUGAAGAAGGGUUUCGGAUCGUAAAGCUCUGUUGUAAGAGAAGAACGGGUGUGAGAGUGGAAAGUUCACACUGUGACGGUAGCUUACCAGAAAGGGACGGCUAACUACGAG